rnacentral:rRNA from 1 species
UACAGAGGUCUCAAGCGUUGUUCGGAUUCAUUGGGCGUAAAGGGUGCGUAGGCGGCGCGGUAAGUCGGGGUGUGAAAUCUCGGAGCUUAACUCCGAAACUGCAUUCGAUACUGCCGUGCUUUGAGGACUGGAGAGGAGACUGGAAUUUAUGGUGUAGCGGUGAAAUGCGUAGAUAUCGUAAGGAAGACCAGUGGCGAAGGCGGGUCUCUGGACAGUUCCUGACGCUGAGGCACGAAGGCCAGGGGGAGCAA